ACCGGCCAAGAUUUGCAUGGACUCGAGAAAAGCAUGUGCCUCCAGCAGCCUAUGGCCGUGUGCAUUGUCAUGAGAGUCUCUGCUUCUCCAUUCUCAGGAAAAGGCAAAGGUGUGUUUUGUGAGAAACUCCCUAGUUUGGAUAGACAGAUUGCUGAGAUGUGUUUCGAUGAAGCUAACAGAUGUGGGAAACCAUUAGUCUGUGGAUUCUACAAGCGUUUUGAUCCAGCUUUACAAUUCUUGUACCAGAAAGUCGGUGAGAGCCGCGCGCUAGGGAGGAUACAUCGGAUAGCAGUCGUUAGCAGCAUCUAUCCACCAGCUUCUCCCAGUUUGCUAAGGAAGUCAGGUGGGAUCUUUUAUAACGCUGCUGUGCAUGACGUGGACAUCGUCAGUCUCUUGUUGGGAGAGAGUGUUCCAGACACAGUCUUUUCUUUGGGUCAUGCGUUCUGCUCAGAUGUGGCCUCUUUGAAAGAUGCAGACAGUGUCAUGGUCAGCAUGAAGUUUCCUAGUGGGGCCAUUGUUAGUUUGGAUAUCAGUCAACACUGCACCAAAAGCUGUGACCUGAGAGUGGAGGUUCAUGGUUCUCAAGGAACUUUACGGGUCGAUAAUCAGAAUCCCUUGGGGAUUACUGAGCGUGGAACCUCCGUGUCCAUAUACUCACACACACAUGUCGAUCGGUACCAAGAAGCAUAUAGAGGACUCUUUCGACACUUUCUCAGAACCCUUAAAGGAAAAGAACCCCCAACUGUCCCCAAAGAACAGUUUCUCUGGACCAUUCAGGUGGCUGCAGCAGCUGAGCAAUCCUGGCGGAAUGGGUCAGCUGUCGACUUCAGCAAUGAAGGUUGAGAUAUAAAUGCGAUGUCGGUUAUCAAGAUGGAAAUACUGUGAAGAGGGAAUAACUGACUUAAGUUUUGCUGAAGAAGACAACCUUAUACCUAUUUCCAUUUUCAUUAAUUUAAAAAAAUUAAUUGCAGUGUUUUGUGACUUUAUUUUCACUGGAAACCAUGAGCUGGGAACUUUGGGGAAAUGUGUGUAUAUGGUAAUGGUGUAGCAAGUAAUUUUCUUAGGAUGUUGUAUUAGGCCCAAAAAUGAAGCUUGAAAGGCAUCAUUCUGUUAGUGUGUAUUUUUCCUUGUGUUCGAAGGAGGCAUUUAGGUGAGAAAGGCUGACAUUUUGUUUUUAAAGAACACGUAUGCAUUAUCCAUCCUGAGAAACAUACCAGCCAUUUACUUCCCACACUGUGGCAACAAAACAUGCUUCUGUGAAAAUAGGUUUGUUGCCCCCGCAUGGAUAUGUGGUCUGUUUUGGGGGGCGAGGGCGGGGAGGAAGGAUGGAGUGAUGCUCCUUUUUCUUUUGAGACGGGGUGGGACAAACAGUCUAAGAUAGGGCUCUUUUCCCCCUCAGACAGUCAAAUCUAGAUGAGAUUGUGUAUAAAUGUUACAGAAAAAGAUAGUGCCUUCCAAAAUGGGCCACUCUGCUUUAACUCAAGUUUGGGGUUAUCUUUUUUAUUCUUAUGUCAGACUUACUGCAGAUGUUUUUAUAUAUUUGAAGAUUCUUGUCUGUAAUUUCUCAUAUCCUAC
rnacentral:lncRNA from 1 species